rnacentral:hammerhead_ribozyme from 1 species
CACUAGUCGAGAGUUGUCGCCGCUCUCCUGAUGAGUACAAGGCAGGACGAAACCAUUG